UAACACAUGCAAGUCGAACGAUGAUAGAGAGCUUGCUUUUCUUGAUUAGUGGCGCACGGGUGAGUAAUGCAUAGAUAAUGUGCCCCUUAGUUCGGGAUAGCCACUGGAAACGGUGAUUAAUACCGGAUACUCCUUCUUGUUAUAAGACAAGUCGGGAAAGUUUUUCGCUAAGGGAUCAGUCUAUGUUCCAUCAGCUUGUUGGUGAGGUAAUGGCUCACCAAGGCUAUGACGGAUAUCUGGUUUGAGAGGAUGAUCAGACACACUGGAACUGAGACACGGUCCAGACUCCUACGGGAGGCAGCAGUGAGGAAUAUUGCACAAUGGAGGAAACUCUGAUGCAGCAACGCCGCGUGGAGGAUGACGCAUUUCGGUGUGUAAACUCCUUUUAUUAGGGAAGAUAAUGACGGUACCUAAUGAAUAAGCACCGGCUAACUCCGUGCCAGCAGCCGCGGUAAUACGGAGGGUGCAAGCGUUACUCGGAAUCACUGGGCGUAAAGGGUGCGUAGGCUGGCUUUUAAGUCAGAUGUGAAAUCCAAUGGCUCAACCACUGAACUGCAUUUGAAACUGAAAGCCUAGAGUUCAGAAGGGGCAGAUGGAAUUAGUGGUGUAGGGGUAAAAUCCGUAGAUAUCACUAGGAAUAUCAAAAGCGAAGGCGAUCUGCUGGGAUG
rnacentral:rRNA from 1 species